CCUACGGGGCGCAGCAGUGAGGAAUAUUGGUCAAUGGCCGCGAGCCUGAACCAGCCAAGUCGCGUGAAGGAAGACUGCCCUACGGGUUGUAAACCUCUUUUAUCAAGGAGCAAAGUGAGUCACGUGUGACUCAUUGAAUGUACUCUAUGAAUAAGCAUCGGCUAACUCCGUGCCAGCAGCCGCGGUAAUACGGAGGAUUCGAGCGUUAUCCGGAUUUAUUGGGUUUAAAGGGGGCGCAGGGGGGUGGUGAAGUCAGGUGUGAAAAUUGGCGGCUCAACCCUAGAAUUGCCUUUGAUACUGGAACUCUUGAGUGCGGGAGAAGUAGGCGGAAUGCGUGGUGUAGCGGUGAAAUGCAUAGAUAUCACGAAGAACUCCGAUUGCGAAGGCAGCAUAC
rnacentral:rRNA from 1 species